rnacentral:tRNA from 1 species
GUGUAUGGUUUAGUGGUAGAGUGCUCACCUAACAAGUGUGAGGCCCUAGGUUCAAUCCCUAGCAACACA